GUGAACGCUGGCGGUAGGCCUAACACAUGCAAGUCGAACGGCAGCACAGUAAGAGCUUGCUCUUACGGGUGGCGAGUGGCGGACGGGUGAGGAAUACAUCGGAAUCUACUUUUUCGUGGGGGAUAACGUAGGGAAACUUACGCUAAUACCGCAUACGACCUACGGGUGAAAGCAGGGGAUCUUCGGACCUUGCGCGAUUGAAUGAGCCGAUGUCGGAUUAGCUAGUUGGCGGGGUAAAGGCCCACCAAGGCGACGAUCCGUAGCUGGUCUGAGAGGAUGAUCAGCCACACUGGAACUGAGACACGGUCCAGACUCCUACGGGAGGCGGCAGUGGGGAAUAUUGGACAAUGGGCGCAAGCCUGAUCCAGCCAUACCGCGUGGGUGAAGAAGGCCUUCGGGUUGUAAAGCCCUUUUGUUGGGAAAGAAAAGCAGCAGGUUAAUACCCCGCUGUUCUGACGGUACCCAAAGAAUAAGCACCGGCUAACUUCGUG
rnacentral:rRNA from 1 species